rnacentral:tRNA from 2 species
GCGCCAGUAGUGUAGCGGUUAUCACUAGGCGUUGCCAACGCCUAAACUCGGGUUCGAAUCCCGACUGGCGCA